rnacentral:lncRNA from 1 species
AGACAGUCCAGAUAUUUUAAGAAGUGACGCAUUCUGUUCGCGUGAUCGAAAACACGUGCAUAUUAAGAAGAACGACGAAAUGUUGCAAUUACGAACUUGGACUGCGAUGACGGUUGAUAUGUUAGAAGCUAUACUCCACCUACCCACAUUGCAAUUCAAGCCUAUUCUGCCCGCAAUUUAUCCAGCUGUUACCUCUAUGAUCCCUGUGUCAGGAGAUACGAAAGUUUGCAGGCUUAUCUAUGAAAUUGUCACACGUGGUGGAUCUAUUUAUGGAAUAAUAUAAUUUGUGUCUAAAACGUGUGACUAUCAUGUGACUACAAACUGACGCAUUCGGCAUUUACUGGCAAAUACAUGUCGUGGAAACAUUUAGCAUCAUUUGCUCUGACCCCAUUGAAAAGCUCUCCAUCGAAGCAUUUAUAGUAUGGACUAUGUCAAUAAAACUGCAGAUGGAGAGGAAUUCGGUUACCUGAAAUCUCAAAAAAAAAUCUCACAACUUGUCAACAAGAUGUGUUCGCAACAGGUAGCAAGCUUGUCAACAAGUUGUAACAAUGCUAUUAUUUUAUCAAGUUGCUGCAAGGUUGUCACUCACAACUUGUUGAGAAGUUGUUGAAUAGCAAGACGGUAACAAAUUGUUGGGACAACUUGUAACAAGUCUGUUGAGCUCAACAACCUUGUAGCAAGUUGUCAACAAGCCGUUGACAACUUGCCAACAAGCUGGGAACAAGCAGUGCGAACACAUCCUGUUGACAAGUUGUUGGAACAGCAUUGCUACAAGUCUGCUGCAGGUUUGUUACAACUUGUGCGUUUUUACGCGUGUAUUUGAGUUUACUUCUCGACGAAGUGCCUUCGCUCGAAACGUCGAAGUUCUCCUUGUAUUUUUCAGGUAGUUGAAUCCCUUUCAAACCACAGUUUUCUGGUGUUUUUGUCACUACCUACACUGGGACUGUUGGACUAUAUCAAUGACUUCACUCUGGAUCAUAGAUAUUUUAUGGAUAUACAGGGGGAGAGCAACUCUCGCGAAUUACUCUCGCGCGCCAAAGCGUGAGCCAAAAAUGGCAAAAUAGUUAAGGGGUUAACCUUCACACCAAAUUCAUGGUGACAUAUAAAUAAACAAUUCCUACAAUACAUUCAAUUUGUUACAAAUUUAUAAACACGUCUUUCAUAUUCACAGAUGUAAUUGUAUUGUUUCGUAAAUGUGUUACCUGUAACAAGACAAAGGGCUCAAAACCCAAUACAACUCAUGAAUCGUGAGCCAAUCAACUUGCGCAAUUUACUAAUGAGAGCGAGACUCCAAUUUAAUUUAUCUCAAUCACGAAAACGAGGCUCUUUAGCCAA